rnacentral:lncRNA from 1 species
AAAGACUCCGUCGUGUGUAUGGGACGGGGUUGCUAUUACUUGACCUUUGUGUGGUGGGGAUGCUUGUCGGUUCUUGGACUCGCUUCUAGUCUUGUGUUGUUUAUUAGGACUAGAAGAGCUUAUCAACGGUUUGAACAAGCUCGGAUAAGUUCAAAUAUUGAUUCAUAGAAAUUUUACCUUCAUUCCCCGACGGCUUGUGUAUAUCACAGUAUAUGUAGGGAUCUAUAUUUAACAGACGUAUUAAUGGACUGUUAUGGAUUUUGGCUGAUAAUAUUUUGUUGUCGCUGAUUUAUUUUAGUCUCAAAUUCUGAUAAUUGUUAAAUUAUCCUAUCCUUUCUACAAUAAUAUUAUUUUUUUUGGGUGAGAAUUUACGUUUGACAGCGCUACUUGCAACUAAAUCAUUUUAUGCUCUUUCUUUUAUGGUGGUGGAAACCUUCCUGACUGAUAAAUUAAUGAUACCGUUUUUAAAAAUACAGUUUUUAAUUAAGAUAUAAAAAUUUAAAAAAUUAUUUUGCUCGAGAAAGCAAUGUAUUUGGAUGUGCAAUCUCUUGUAACCGUUAUUUCUGAAGUGAUUUUUUAGUACCCCAUCAGUUAUGAAAUGAUUACAUUACUGAAGACUCACCUUUUCAUUACAGACAUAUAUAUAUAUAUUAAAAUGUUGAUAAAUCAAAGAUACUCGAGUAAUUAAAACUAUACUUUACUAAUUUAAGGGAAGAUACAAAACCUCUGAUCCUUAAUACAAAGAAAAAGCCUCUCAUAAGCUAAAGCCAUCUUACUCGCCGUAAACAUCUCCGCCGCAUACUCUUUACACUUCCUCCCUCUCUCCGCCAAUCUCUCCGCUCCUUCCGCCACCGCAACUUCCAUAACCGCCGUCAAAGCCUCCACAUUCGGCGCAAACAUAAACCCAAACUCAUCAUUCACCACAAUACUCCUCUUUAUGCUCGCAUACCUCGACGCCAUCACCGGUUUACCACUCAACAUCGCUUCCAUCAAAGUCAAAUCAAGACCUUGUGGUCUAAGCGUUGGAUUCACAAACAAAUCGAUCCCGUUGUAGAAACCCUUGAGCUCAUUUGGGUUCAGAGAUCCCAAAAUAGUAACUUUCUCGCCAAGUUCCUUGUAACGGUUCUCCCAUGGUCCUGACCCAGCUACCACAAGGUGAACAUUUGAAUGUGUUUCGAUUAGUUUUGCGAAGGCUUCGUAGAGAAUCGGAUGUCCCUUGUCUUUCACCAAUCUCCCUGCAGCUCCUAAGACAAUAGCCGAUGAGUUUUCUUGUAACCCUAGUUUUGACCUAAACAGAGAACGUAGCUUCUUGUCUGAUUUGAACCCAUUUUCGUCGACUCCGUUGAGGAUCACAUGAACCCUUUUCUCCGGGAUUUGGUAAACGUCUCUCAGCAUUUCCCCGCAGCUGUCGCUGAUUGCUAUGUGAUGAGCGUAGUUGUGGAAGAAUCUGAUUUCUUGAGAAAUUGAAAUAUAAUAUAGCCACUUCAUAGUUAAAUGUACAAGUGUUUUUAUAAUAUAUACUGUUAAUUUCUGUGAAAUUUAAGUAUAUGAUUUAUUUUGUAAAACUAUUAAAUAUGAUAUGAUAAAAGUUAUAAAACUGCGAUAUUUUCAUGUGGAAAUAGUUUUAUUGCAUAUCAUGCAAAUUAUAUUUGAAGUUAUAAGACAUAGUUCUUUCUAAUCAGAAGUACUUUUAUAUUUCACUUAAUUUAGCUAAAAACAUAGAAAGAAUGUUUUUUUAGUUUAUAAAAUCAAAUAGACAUGAACAUUGGCUAUCAAUUUAGGUACAUAUUUUUUUAGGGUAUUGUUUUUUUUUUUUUUGAAAUAAAGUUCCGCUUGAAUAUUAUAAAUUUAUGUGUCAUUUUGAGUUGAGUCAUUCUGAGUCUGGAUGAGUUCGGUUAUGAUUUAUAUGAAUCUAAAAAAUAUCUAAAUAACAAAUAUAUAUAUAAAAUAUGUUCGGAUAUUUGUACCAAAAAUAAUCAUAUUAUCCGAUUCGGUCCAAGUCGUUUAAAUACAAUUAGUUAUAUUACGACACAUCUAAAAUAUAUAACACUAAUAAUGAAAUAAAAUAUCAAUGUAAAAAAUGUAAAAACCAAUCUUAGUGUGGGUGCGCGGAUAAUCUCUAGUUAUAUUUGAAGUAUAAGACAUAGUUCUUUUUAAUCAGAAAUAGUUUUAUGUGGAAAGUUUAAUGAAUUUUCUAUUUCUUUGAAAUGACUUUCAUGUUAGUUGUUAUAGCUUAGAGUUUUUGACCCAAAAAAAAGAGUUAUUCAUAUGUUCAUACAUAUAAUUUUGUCACGAUUCACAAAUGAGACUAAACCAAAACUUUUCGAGUCACAAACUGGGUGACGAUUGAUUGGUAGAUAGGUAGUUCACAGUUGUUUUUUUGUUUGUCGAUUUUUCUUAUCUUUUUUUUUCUUCGUAAAUGCAUUAACUUUUAGGAACUUCCAUAAAACUUGUUGGUCCAACAAGUCUUCUUCUUGGCAUGUUCGGGCUUGUCUCGUGGUUGAUGGCUAUUUCGAAAAUCUGCAACUAUUUCAUAAUUUAAAAUAUGACGUCAAAAAUGAAUAUUUAUUAUCCUUUAUAUAAAAUUCUUAUUGUCUAAAUCAUAUAUAGAUAUGCAAAAAAUGGCCACCGGAUUUUUUUAUUAAACGUCUUUUUCUGAUGAGUAAGCUGUUUGUGGUUGAGAAAAAUCAAUGAAAUAGAUAUACAAAUAUUAAAUGUGACGCUUUUAGUAGUUAAAUGUUGUCUUUCUCAAACAGUCAAACUCAAUCAUUAUUGGGGUAAAAUAAUCAAAAACAAAAUUUGUAAAAUAAUAAAUCAAAUUUAGUAGUUAGAUUUUUUUAAUUUCUUGUCUCUGAAGAAACUUUGAUUGAUAUUGGCUCGUUACUAUACAGGUGUUUCUCUGUUGCUUACUUGCUGGUCUAAGUAUCUGUUGGUUCAACACAGUCUGCUUUGUGCUCUGCAUCAGCAACUUCCCUGCAAACAGAGCGCUUGCUCUGUCCAUCACAGUAAGCUUCAACGGUGUAAGCGCUGCCUUAUACACACUUGCUUACAACGCAAUCAACCCAACCUCUCCAGAGCUCUACCUUCUCUUAAACGCUCUCAUACCACUCGUUGUCUCCUUCACUGCAAUCAUCCCGAUACUUCGUCAACCGCCUUUCGAGCCUCUUCCACCAGAUGGAGUUCGCCGCGACUCUCUCAUGUUUCUACUGCUCAACAUUCUCGCCGCUCUAAACGGUGUUUACCUCCUCCUCUUUGAGUCAAACUCCUCUGAUAUAACCUCUGCUCGUCUCCUCUUUGGUGGUGCAAUCAUCCUCUUGGUCCUCCCUUUAUGUAUCCCCGGUUUAGUCAUCGCCCGUAACUGGUAUCAUCGCACGAUCCACACAAGUUUCCGCCUUGAAGGUUCCGGUUUCAUUCUCGUUCAUCCUGAUGAGCUUGAGCUGCAUAAAGGAAUGGUUGCACAUGAAGCCAAUAGAGAAGGCUACCAGUUGCUAAACGACGACAUUGUGCAAAACCUUGUUGUUAAGACUACAGCUCCAGAGGAAGGUGACACUGAUGAGUCCUGUUGCAAGAAGCUUAUUACAAGAGGCCAGCUUGAGAUAUUGGGAACUGAACAUUCUUUGUCGCAGCUCUUACGUAGAGCUGACUUCUGGUUCUACUAUAUUGCGUACUUCUGCGGUGGAACCAUCGGACUUGUGUACAGCAACAACCUCGGACAGAUUGCUCAGUCUUUAGGACAAAGCUCAAAGACUACAACUCUUGUCACACUUUAUUCUUCCUUCUCAUUCUUUGGAAGAUUACUCUCGGCAACACCGGACUAUAUCCGAGCGUAAGUGCAUUUGAUCCAUAUUAAUUUAUCGUAUUUAUUAAUUUAUCAAAUAUUAAUUUAUAGAGUUUAUAGUUUGGUUUUGCGGGUUUUGAUUUGGAUUAAGUUGUGCAGGAAGGUUUAUUUUGCAAGAACCGGGUGGUUAGCAAUCGCGCUUUUGCCAACACCAAUCGCGCUUUUCUUGCUCGCAUCAUCAGGAACCGCGUCAGCGUUACAAGCGGGAACAGCUCUGAUUGGUCUAAGCUCAGGAUUCAUAUUCGCAGCAGCUGUUUCGAUCACAUCAGAGCUCUUUGGACCAAACAGUGUUGGAGUUAACCACAACAUCUUGAUCACAAACAUACCGAUAGGAUCGUUGAUCUAUGGAUUCUUGGCUGCAUUGGUCUAUGACUCGCAUGGUUCGACUGCGAUCAAAUCAAUGAAAGACUCCGUCGUGUGUAUGGGACGGGGUUGCUAUUACUUGACCUUUGUGUGGUGGGGAUGCUUGUCGGUUCUUGGACUCGCUUCUAGUCUUGUGUUGUUUAUUAGGACUAGAAGAGCUUAUCAACGGUUUGAACAAGCUCGGAUAAGUUCAAAUAUUGAUUCAUAGAAAUUUUACCUUCAUUCCCCGACGGCUUGUGUAUAUCACAGUAUAUGUAGGGAUCUAUAUUUAACAGACGUAUUAAUGGACUGUUAUGGAUUUUGGCUGAUAAUAUUUUGUUGUCGC